CAGACAACACAUACUACAUGCAGAAUAGGUCUUUCCGACAACUACCCUACUACCGCCACGACGUCACCUCAAAGUGGCCAACACCACCAACUUUUAGCAACCAAUUUUCACAUUCCAUGAUUGUACCUUUGAGCCAAUGAUUAGGAUCCUUCUCAGUUGAAUCAAAGACCAAGAUUUGUCCCUAAUAAAAAUAAAAUUUCCCUCUUCCAUCCCGUAUAAAUUGGGGUGGAUUCCAGGCAUUGAAAAACAAUAAAUCAUAAGCCAAAGUCGGAGACAAACCAGCCCCUCGGUUCUUAUUCUGCUAAUCUUCUUCAACCUCUUUCCUCUCUUCUUUCUCCACCACCAGCUACAUACCAGACUCCCCAGCAUCACCAGGAACACCACUAGCAACUUUUCUCCUCUCCAGGCAAUCCUUCAUCUUCUUUUUCUUCUUUAAACCUCCCUCCCGGGCCGCCCCAGGUAGCCAUUUGAAUUCUGCAUGCAAAUAGCAAAAGAUAAUUAACAAGAGAGAGGUUAGGUCUUCUAUAGACCCAAUAUGAUCAGAUUAGGCUUGGGCUUGGGCUCUAGGCCCAGCCUAAUCUUUUUAAAAAAGAGAGGUUAGGCCUUUUAUCGGCCCAACUUGACUAAGUUAGGUUGGACCCAUUUCCAGCCCAACCUGUAUGGUUGGGGUGGGUCGAACCAAGAUUAAAAAAAAGGUCUGUUAGGCCAUCAGUUGACCCAACCUAACCGAGUCCGGUCCCGAUAGCUGAGCUAGGUCCAACCCACUUAAUAAAUAAAUAAUAUAAUAAUAUUAAAAGUAUAUAUAUAUAUAUAUAUUAAAAAAAAUCAAGUUUUUCAAAAGGCAUUUUAAAAAUAUUUAGGGCCCCUAGCAUGUUUUUCCAACUAUUUUGCAUAAUAUCAUGUUGUAGACUUAUACUGUAACAUACAAACUCGAUAUUAAAAAUACCUGAUUUUCUCUGACUUAAAAAAAAUCUACAUAUUUUCUAGAGAGAUAAAAUCAUUUUUGUCAUGUUUUUUUUAAUACAAAAUGAAUAUCAUAACCGGUUUAUGACUAUUUAUUAGGGUUUGACCAAAAUAUAAAAAAUAUCAUUAUAAUUUACUUGUCAUUCAAAAUGCUAGGACUUAGCUAUAUCUAAGAAAUAAAUAAGUUUGAUUCUUAAAAUAGUUAGGAUUUAACCCAAUAAGAUAUAGACUUUCUCACGAAUGGAGAUCUACCUUGAAACUUAGACGAGACCAAUAGACAUAAAUGUGACUUAGAAUAACAAUUAAACAAUAAUGCAAUUUACCUUAGAUAUGGUGCAUUAGGGAUGAUGUGUCUUUCUCUUGCAUAACUAGUCUUUUACCUAAACUCUUGCAGACCAUUAGGUUUUCUAGUAAUUAUAAUAUUAGGUGGAGACUAUUGACUUCAUAAUCGUAAUUUUAUGAUUAAACUUUAAAAUUCCUUUUUAACACAUUCAGGAGAUAGAUCUACCACUCAACAUCGUGCACAUCACAACACACAACAUCAAAGAAGGGUAUCCUAAAAACUAGAAUACAAGAAUAAAUUCACACACAUAUCAACACCAACAUAGAAAGUAAAAAUAAAAAAAAAAUGAAUACUCACAACUAAUAUUUACAAUAAAAAACAACAUUAAGGUUUUACAAAUAUUUAAAAUUAUAAAUCUAAAAAAAAAAAAAGCAAUGUUGUUACCGUUGGUGACUUUGCUUCUUCAUGGCAAUCAACUAGAUACUUGGAAUAGUAGCUCGAAAGAGUAUUGUCAAGGCCACCCUCGCCCAU
rnacentral:lncRNA from 1 species